UGGCUCAGACGGUAAAGUGUCUGCCUACAAUGCAGGAGACCCAGGUUCGAUCCCUGG
rnacentral:tRNA from 1 species